UACGUAACAUGUGCUGCAUAUUCUGAGCUACACCUUUGAAAAUCCAUGACAUUCCUACAAACGUCUAUUUCUAGUUAUACCACAACUCAAGAGUAACGCACACUUUUACACUUUCUCACUUAUAGUUUCAUGGAAGAAAACUGGGGUACUCUCUCAUUUACAUAACACUUCCAAACUGUCCAUCACUGCCUAAAUCACAUACACACUCAUUGUACGUAGCAAUGAAUUCAAUAUGUGUUGUGCUAAGUUCAUGAAUCAGUUCUCAUAUUAGCAUGUCAACACGAUGACUCAACAAUUUUCACCUUUAUGAUAACAAAAGCUUUAAAGCUAUGCAGUGAAAUUUCACAGAGUAGACAAAAGCAAUGCUAAGGUGGGGCUGUGUCUUCAGAGCCAACAUAUAUUCUUUCAUGUCAAAGGCUUUAGUUGCACCAUGCAUUGCAACUGUUCCAACAUUUAAGUGUACACUACUGUCACCAUCUUCAGGGUGAACCAGGCAUGAGAAUGAAGCUGCCUAAUGGAAGUAAGGCUGAGUCAACCCCAGGGCCAUAGUGUGGCUGGAAGGAU